rnacentral:rRNA from 1 species
CACGUAGGGGGCAAGCGUUUGUCCGGAUUCAUUGGGCGUAAAGAGCUCGUAGGCGGCUCAGUAAGUCGGGUGUGAAACCUCCAGGCUCAACCUGGAGACGCCACCCGAUACUGCUGUGGCUAGAGUCCAGUAGGGGAGCGUGGAAUUCCUGGUGUAGCGGUGAAAAUGCGCAGAUAUCAGGAGGAACACCAGCGGCGAAGGCGGCGCUCUGGGCUGGAAACUGACGCUGAGGGAGCGAAAAGCGUGGGGGAGCGAAACAGG